rnacentral:rRNA from 1 species
UGGCGGACGGGUGAGUAACGCGUGGGUAACCUGCCCUGUACAGGGGGAUAACAGCUGGAAACGGCUGCUAAUACCGCAUAAGCGCACGAGGAGACAUCUCCUUGUGUGAAAAACUCCGGUGGUACAGGAUGGGCCCGCGUCUGAUUAGCUGGUUGGCAGGGUAACGGCCUACCAAGGCAACGAUCAGUAGCCGGUUUGAGAGGAUGAACGGCCACAUUGGAACUGAGACACGGUCCAA